GCGUUCGUAGCUUGGUCGUUAACUCUCUGGGGAAAUCUUUUGGCUUAACCAAAAGGCGUCUCAGGGAAAGUGGCGAUCUUGGAACCGGGAGAGGUAAGACGUACUUCGGGGGUAGGAGUGAAAUCUUGUAAUCCCCGAGGGACGACCGAUGGCGAAGGCAUCUUACCAGAACGGCUUCGACAGUGAGGGACGAAAGCUGGGGGAGCAAACCGGAUUAGAUACCCGGGUAGUCCCAGCCGUAAACGAUGUGCGUUAGGUGUGUCAGCGACCACGAGUCGCUGAGGUGCCGAAGGGAAACCGUGAAACGCACCGCCUGGGAAGUACGGUCGCAAGGCUGAAACUUAA
rnacentral:rRNA from 1 species